CGAAGCUCGGAAGCCUGUCUCUCCACUCACCGGAGCGAGACUCUGCUAAACAACCAGUUGGCAUAGGCUAACUGCAGAGAUCCAGCCUGCACACGGAAGAGCUUGUGGUCCUUCAUAACACCCCUUUACCAUUGAGUUUUGAAUGGGAUACUGGCUACACUAUUCGUUACAUGUGCAUUCAUCUACUAUUACUUUAUGUCAUUCUCUCUGGUUUCUCCUCUGCUUGUACAAUAAUCACCCCUCUACACCUUACUCUGUGCAAAAAGAUUGGUGCCUCCCAGGGAACCCUUUAUGUUGUUCUUUUCUGUUAAGCCUGUAUAUUUCUUUAUGAAAAAAAGAAAAAGAAAGCAAAAUCAUUUAUACUGAUAUGUUAUUCUUUUUACUCAUGC